rnacentral:tRNA from 1 species
UGGGGUGUCGCCAAGAGGUCUAAGGCACCGGGUUUUGAUCCCGGCAUUCGUAGGUUCGAAUCCUACCACCCCAGCCA